GAGUGUCAUGCACAAACCCCAUGUUCCUAUCUCAAAGGGCAAGGAUACACUUGGGGGUCAAAGGUCAAAUGGAAGUUUGUCCGGAGAUUUUUUUCUUCAUGCAUGGUGGGAUUUUGAUGUAACUUGGCGUGAAUGUUCACCAUGAUGAGACGGAGUGUCAUGCGCAAGAACCAGGUCCCUACGUCUAAGGUCUAGGUCACACCUAGAGGCCAAAGGUGCUUGCUGGCUCGACAUUUUGCCCGUAAGCACACAGAAUGUAUUUCUAGUUCAUUACAUUCAUCACUAUGACUUGGAAGUUUCAUUUAUGCGAGUAAAAUAGUAUUAUUUAAAGGCCACCCGCUAAAUAUUUCCGGUACACAUGCUAUAUAAGUUGGGGGCCGUAUAGAGGUUAUCUUAACUUGACAUACACGUGCACUGGAUUAAAUGCUAUUGUGCAGCAUGCUCUGUUGUUCAAUGGAUAUCUUUGGUCAUUAAACUUUGUCCACAUGCCAAGUAUACAUUACAACUUGAUAUAUUCUCAUGAAAGUCCUGGUUUAAUUGUAAAGAAGUACUGUAUUGUAGUCUUGUGUUUUACUGUUAAGUACACAUGCUGUCUCAUGUAUAGAACAGGACAGAAUUGAAUUUAUUUCAAAUCAUGGGACAAAUAUUUUGAGCUUCUAUGUUGUGUAGCAUGGUUUGAAUGACAACAAUUAGGAUGUUACACGCAGUAUAAAUGCAUAUUAGACUAACAUAAGGCGUAAAAUAAAAUUGAAAAAGGAAAUAAAAUACAAUUCAUCUCCCUAGUUGGAUUUUUUAUGUAUUUGAAAUACUCUAUUAAACUCUUGGUAUAUUAUUUAUAUUUCCAGAUACAAUAGCCAACCAGAUGCACCAAGGGUAAAACACGGAAAACCCCAGAUAAAUCUUCACAGUGCAGUCAUGCAGCCGACACUGCAAAAAAUAUGGUACAGGAAGCCGGUCUCCAGGAAAAUGUCUCAGAGUCAGACGAGCUUUGCUGGAUGUCCAGGACAAGAAAACCUCCAUCAGCAUCAGACAAUCAGCUAAGGACAGUUCUGUUUCUGUAAGUUAUUUAAGAAGACGCCUGUCUGGUGAAGUAGCUUUGGACAGCAGAAAUGUCCUACAACCUGUCUCCAACAAGCACGAGAAAGAGGCUAUGGCAAAAUGGUUCAGAGGGGAAUGGGGCUAAAGCCAGGCGAAUUUUUGGACUUUAUUCAAAGUGUUGUAAAGAAGGAAAAAUACUCCAUUUGUAAAUGACAGGCCAUCAUAUACUUGCUAUAAAAAUUCAUGGAGAGGAAUGGACACGUAGUUGAAAUUAGGAAUGAAGCCCCCUUAGAGUCAAGCCGGCCAAACUUGAGAAGCAAUAGAUGAGUGGUAUAGCAAAAGAGAUUGAAUUCUCAAUAGCACAGUAAUUAAGGAUUCGGACCUUCAACCUGGGUUAACCUUCUCACACAGUGAUGAAGAAACUUGAGAUAGUCAGAAAACAAAGGUGACAAAGUGCUCUAAGGAGCAGCUUGAAGCACAAGGUGCUCUGCGUGCAUUAGAAUCAGAACACAUACAGGACAAGAAUACCAAAAACGUAUCGAGGAAGGGUGCAAUGUUGUUUGAAAAUCUCCAUGUUAUGAUGCGUACAAAAAGCUUAGAAUAGUUAGUGAGGGUCUGGCUAUGCCAUUAGCACCAGAAAUAGAAGAGACCGAAGGAAGCAGUAGUCAAAUUGUCCAUCCUUCAUCUAAAUUGGACAGUUUAGCCAGUGUUGCAAUACAACAAGAUGACAAACAACAACAGAUAGUGACUGAUGAUGUUCAAGCAGAGUCAUCUUUGGUAUCACCUGUGCUGCUGGAGUCAAUGGUGUUGCCUAAAUCUGCUAAACC